rnacentral:rRNA from 1 species
CCUACGGGUGGCAGCAGUGAGGAAUAUUGGUCAAUGGACGAGAGUCUGUACCAGCCAAGUCGCGUGAAGGAUGACUGCCCUAUGGGUUGUAAACUUCUUUUAUAUGGGAAUAAAAUGUUCCACGUGUGGGAUUUUGUAUGUACCAUAUGAAUACGGAUCGGCUAACUCCGUGCCAGCAGCCGCGGUAAUACGGAGGAUCCGAGCGUUAUCCGGAUUUAGUGGGGUUAAAGGGUGCGUAGGUGGAUUGUUAAGUCAGUUGUGAAAGUUUGCGGUUCAACCGUAAAACUGCAGUUGAAACUGGCAGUCUUGAGUACAGUAGAGGUAGGCGGAAUUCGUGGUGUAGCGGUGAAAUGCUUAGAUAUCACGAAGAACUCCGAUUGCGAAGGCAGCUCACUGGACUGCAACUGACACUGAGGCUCGAAAGUGUGGGUAUCAAACAGGAUUAGAUACCCCAGUAGUC